rnacentral:other from 1 species
ACGGUUCUGGGAUGCGCGGUACGCUGGCCGGAGGCAUGACCAACACGUUAUCUGAUCCUGCCCGUGUCGGCCUGCGGUGAGCAGGCCCGCCCAGGUAGCGGGAAGCCUGAAGCAGGUUGCCGGGCGGGGCUGGUCCGGACCGGAUAAGGGCUCAUGCCCCCAGUCGCAACCGGCAUCCCGGAAACGCC